CUUUAGACGUCCAAUACGAUAUAAAAUUUUUUUUACAGUUAAGCUGUACAAAAACAUACGAGGUAAGCAUAUAUCAUUUAAUUUAUUAUUAUACCUCACAUGUAUUAUAAAGAAUUAUAUUUGGUAAAACGUAAUCACGUGACAUGGAAUAAUUCAUUAAACUUUUAUUUAGUUGCAAGGAAGGACACAAAAGAUUUAUACACAAGCAGUGAAUAAAUCUAUUAUUCACCGGCAAAAAACCUUUUGAGUUUCUUGAUUUGUAAAUUCGAGUGAUCUGACUCCCUUAAAAAUGACAUCAGAGACUUAAGUAAACAAAAUAGAAACAUUCAGGAUUUACAGAAAGCCUAUUGGCUGACGAGGAAACAAGGCUUUAGACAUGCAUCGAGUACCGAUGACAUCUCUCAUAAACGGUCCUUUUUAGAGCCAUCAAUAUUUUACAUAUUCUCUACCUUUGUUGUACAUACGAGAAAUUCAAACUUCAAAGACUCAAAUUUAUUUUCAAUAGUUAACUUUUUUUUGUUUAUUUUUUUUAUGGCAAGUGUUUUUUGAAUGAUUAAAACAAUUUUGGCCCCCAAAAAGCGACGAAAGUCCAAAAAUGGCCAGUCUAAAAAAUGUUUCACCUAGCGCUGCGCCCUCAGUGAAAUAACCUUCUCGUGUUGAAUUGAAAAAUGAAAAUGCAUUUCAAUAAAUUUCAAGAGAUUUUCUACUUUUCUAAAUCAAAUAUAAUUAACUUUAUCGCGUUACAGAAGAAUACAAAAUUCAAACAUUUUUAUUUAUGCCGAAUCUAUAUUAAAAAAAGUUUUUGAAACAAACGUGAGAAAAAAAUGGCAAAAGUCAAUUCAUUUUGUUAUUUAAAUAUUUUUUUUAAAUAUUUCACACCACAAGGCAGCAGUUACAUUUCUUAGACUGUUGGUGUUACAAGCUGUAUUCCAUCUUCAUUCAGUAUCAGUAUUAUUAAUAUACUACAAAUGGGUUAGCAUUCUUCUUUCAUUGGUUAUUAUGACCGAGUUAUUCAAAUUGUAUUCCAUCAAAAUAUACACGACGUCUUUUUUUCUUCUUUUUUUUUUUAGAUAUAUGGAGGUUAUGUUUCUAUUAACUAAUACAUGUAUGCAACAUGCAAUGUAAAAUAAACAAAAAGUCAAUUUUCAUAAUACACGAUUUAUAUAAUUGGUAUGUAAAAUAUGAUUGGUAAGCACACGUCUCUCAUAAUUAAUAAGGAGAAAAAUAAAUAACAAUCAUAUUAUAUCUAGCUUUGAAUGUGCACAUUUUUGUGGAUUGACCCUUCAGAAGACCAGUUUCAAGAUGUUCAAAUGGUCGAAGCUGUAUAAAUGAAUAGGCAGAAGACAACAAAAAAAAAAAAAAAUUAAAAACUAAGUUUGAGCAACACAAGCCCUACAUAAAAAAAAGGAGUUGCCUCAGAUGUUCCAAAAUGGAGAAGUUUAAAUAUUCAUAAACACCAUCGGUCCAGGAUAACUGAACCAUAUUUGUCAACUUCCACACAUUUAUUACGGACGAACAAUGUUAUUCAAAAUGACCAUAAGAGUCAACAUAACACUAUAUAGUUAGAUGCAUUUAGAAAAUACUAUAUAAUAUGAAAAAUACAGAAAUAGCUCUAGUCUAUUGUAGUGAAUAAACUCAUCAUAGAUACGAGGAUAAAUUUUGUAUCUACGCCAGACUUCAAAAGACUCACCAGUGACGCUCGAAUCCAAAAAAGUUGAAAAGACAAAAUAAAGUACGAAGUUGAAAAGCAUUAGGACCAAAAUUCAUAAAUGUUUUGCCAAAUACAACUAAGGUAAUCGUGAUAGGUAGCGACUGCCAUUAACACAAAAUGUUAAAAUAAACAAACAUUAAGAUAUUAAAUUUUAAAAGCAAGUACCUAUGAUAUAUGAUGUUUUUUUCUUUCUAGGUUCUCCAUCUAAUCGACUUUUAUGAUGCAUCUGAUAUUGAUUCUUCUUGUGACUCCUUUUGUUUUCGGUAAAUAUAUAGUUGUUUUAUAUCUACAUAAUUCUGAACGAUUUCUAAAUGAAAAUAAAAUAUAUAUAGACAAUAACUAUCUAAUGUCUUUAAAUUUCAGCUGUAUUUGUACUAGGCCAAUACACAGGUGUAAUGCGAGCUUCAGCGACCUAUUACUCCUGUUUCGAGCCGAGUACACAUACUGCCGAUAUUUGUUUAACUUUGUACAUCUUUUGACAUCUUAAGCGUUGAAUUUGUUUUUGAAAGAAAUCGACAGGACAUAAACGCAGACCGCAAUGAGGACCCCAAAUUGAACUGUAAACAAAACUUUGACACAACCGUUCGCUUGCAACAGAAGCAGAAUACCGUGAAACUAUUUACGUCUUGUAUAUGUAUAUCGCUUCGUGUUAUCUGGUAACCUGUAUUAGUAUAGUAGCAAUGUCGAUCGCUGGAUAAAUAUAAAAAAACUGAUUACAUAUACCAUUUUAUAUAGAAAUCCUAAUUAUGUAAUUAAAGUGUAAUUAUUUUUCGUAGAGAGUUCUUUAAAUGGAUAUGUUGCAUGUUUAUAAUUUAUAUAAGUAUCAUACUGUUUUAUAACUGUUAAACACAUACACUAUCGCACAUAUUAGCUAUUCGUCAUUUGGUUUUUUGAAAAAAAUCUAGAGAAUGCAGAUUAAAUCACAGAAACAAAACAAACAAAAAAUUCCAAGUCUCAUGCUUUUGAAAAAAUAAACAAUAUCAUUUGGAAAUCAUGUGUAGUUUUGAAAUUUGUAAGAAAUGACACUGUGUUCUAAAUCUAUUACCAUUUUGCGAUAUGUGCAGAAUAAUAAUUAUCUCCUCAUGUAGCCAGAAACGUGGGCGUUGAGUCCAAGUCUACAUUAGUGUAAAAUACAAACCUUACAUUUUGUUUUUACAUUGAAACUUCAAGGAUUAUACACACAACUAUUACAUUUAUAUAUUGUGAUUUGUAAAUAAUUAAGAAAAGAUAUCAAGAUUUUUUUAUUUUUUUUUUAUGUCAAACUAUUUCUUUUUUGCUUUACAAUUUUUGCAAUAUAAUUAUACUGCAUAUACUUCUGUAUUGCAAGUUGUUCUUAAUGAUUAUAUUCUUAUUCUACAGUUUCGGGAGCUCGAAAUUGUCCAAGGCGACCACGUCACCCUGAUGGAUGUGAUAAAGUAAUUAAACACUACACGAAAGGAUGUUUGACAAGAUAUGAAUGUAAAUCA
rnacentral:lncRNA from 1 species